GCGCCCUUAGCUUAGCUGGAUAGAGCAACGGCCUUCUAAGCCGUAGGUCACAGGUUCGAAUCCUGUAGGGUGCA
rnacentral:tRNA from 1 species